rnacentral:rRNA from 1 species
AUGAGGCGGAGCUGCGGUCGAAGCUCGAAUCUGAGCGGGCGGAGCGCGAGCUAUCGCGCGAGCGGGAGGAUUGGGAGGCGGGGCCGGAGCGCUCCGUGGCCAGAUCUGGGACGGCGCUCCCUGGAUCUGGUGGUGCGUCGGGGUCGGGGCUGGAUCUGUGGGAGGCCGCUGCUGCUUCGGCGGGUGGUGGCUCCUCUUCGUCGGCGCCGCGCCCCGCUCCGGCUAGGGGUCCGGUCCCUCCGCCUCGGCCACCCCCUCGCUCGUUUGUGGCUGGUGCUGCCUCUCACUCGGGGCCACGCUUCGGGCCUGGCUCUUCCUCUUCAUAGGCUGGGGAUCGGCGUCCUCCUCCUUCUGCUUCGGGUGCCUCUUCUGUGGUCCGUGGUGAUGGCAUCCUGCCGCCGCCUCCGCCUCCCCCUCCCCGCCAGCAUCCUGUUCCCUCGGGACCUUCUCCGACCCUGA